rnacentral:rRNA from 1 species
UGAUACUCUUCCUACUAGUAACUCGAUUAUGUUCUUAAUUGAAUGUAAUACCUAUCUUUCGGGGUAGUCAAUCUAUGAGAAUGACUCCACCAUACUGAUGGAUGUAUGUAAAAGUACUGAAAAAAGAUGAGUGGAUAAAGUUAUUCUUGUAGAUUGGAGUUCUAGUUCGUUUACUUUGAGAAAAUUAGAGUGUUUAAAGCAGCCUCUUGGGGCUCUGAAUACAUUAGCAUGGGAUAAUAGAAUAGGAUUUAAGUCACUAUAUUUGUUGGUUUGAAUGAUCUUAAAUAAUGAUUAAUAGGGACAGUUGGGGGUAUUUAUAUUGGAUGGUUAGCGGUGAAAUGCAUGGAUCCAUUCAAGAUAAACUAAAGCGAAAGCAUUUACCAAGGAUGUUUUCAUUAAUCAAGAACGGAAGUUAAGGGAUCGAAGACGAUCAGAUACCGUCGUAGUCUUAACUAUAAACUAUGCCGACCAGGGAUAUGAGUUGUUAUGAAUAAUAUUUUAAUAGUAUUAUUCAACUUCCUCUUGUGCACCUUGUGAGAAAUCAUAAGUUUUUGGGUUCUGGGUGGAGUAUGGUCGCAAGGCUGAAACUUAAAGGAAUUGACGGAGGGGCACCACC